rnacentral:rRNA from 1 species
GACAGAGGAUGCAAGCGUUAAUCGGAAUGAUUGGGCGUAAAGCGUGUGUAGGAGGCUGUUCAAGUCAGCCGUGAAAUCCCAGGGCUCAACCCUGGACAGGCGGUGGAAACUAGCAAGCUGGAGUACGGUAGGGGCAGAGGGAAUUUCCGGUGGAGCGGUGAAAUGCAUUGAGAUCGGAAAGAACACCAACGGCGAAAGCACUCUGCUGGGCCGACACUGACACUGAGAGACGAAAGCUAGGGGAGCAAAUGGG